UACGGAGGGGGCUAGCGUUGUUCGGAAUUACUGGGCGUAAAGCGCACGUAGGCGGCUUGGCAAGUUGGAGGUGAAAGCCUGGAGCUCAACUCCAGAAUUGCCUUUAAGACUGCCGAGCUAGCAGGUGAGAGAGGUGAGUGGAAUUCCGAGUGUAGAGGUGAAAUUCGUAGAUAUUCGGAGGAACACCAGUGGCGAAGGCGGCUCACUGGCUCGGUACUGACGCUGAGGUGCGAAAGCGUGGGGAGCAAACAGG
rnacentral:rRNA from 1 species